GUCUACAGCCACGUCACCCUGAACACGCCCGAUCCCGUCUGAUCUUGGAAGCUAAGCAGGGUCGGGCCUGGUGAGUACUUGGAUGGGAGACCACCUAGGAAGACCAGGUGCUGUAGGCA
rfam:Pteropus alecto contig107451, whole genome shotgun sequence.